rnacentral:rRNA from 1 species
GAUCCUGGCUCAGGAUGAACGCUAGCUACAGGCUUAACACAUGCAAGUCGAGGGGCAGCAUUUUAGUUUGCUUGCAAACUGAGGAUGGCGACCGGCGCACGGGUGAGUAACACGUAUCCAACCUGCCGAUAACUCCGGGAUAGGCCUUUCGAAAGAAAGAUUAAUACCGGAUAGCAUACGAAUAUCGCAUGGAUAUUUUUAUUAAAGAAUUUCGGUUAUCGAUGGGGAUGCGUUCCAUUAGUUUGUUGGG